UCAAGCGAACAAGUGCAUGUGGUGGAUGCCUUGGCGAUCACAGGCGAUGAAGGACGCGGUAGCCUGCGAAAAGCUUCGGGGAGCUGGCAAACAAGCUUUGAUCCGGAGAUGUCCGAAUGGGGAAACCCGGCCCGUAUGGGUCAUCCCACACUGAAUCCAUAGGUGUGGGAAGCGAACGCGGCGAACUGAAACAUCUAAGUAGCUGCAGGAACAGAAAUCAACCGAGAUUCCCAAAGUAGUGGCGAACGAAAUGGGAAGAGCCUUGCACUCUUUAGCAAGACUGUUAGCAAAACGGGAUGGAAAGCCCGGCCAUAGCAGGUGAUAGCCCUGUAUGCGAAAACAGACUUGUGGAACUAGGUGUGCGACAAGUAGGGCGGGACACGUGAAAUCCUGUCUGAAGAUGGGGGGACCAUCCUCCAAGGCUAAAUACUCGUGAUCGACCGAUAGUGAACCAGUACCGUGAGGGAAAGGCGAAAAGAACCCCGGGAGGGGAGUGAAAUAGAUCCUGAAACCGCAUGCAUACAAACAGUCGGAGCCUCGUAAGGGGUGACGGCGUACCUUUUGUAUAAUGGGUCAGCGACUUACAUUCAGUGGCAAGCUUAACCGAUUAGGGAAGGCGUAGCGAAAGCGAGUCCGAACAGGGCGUUGAGUCGCUGGGUGUAGACCCGAAACCAGAUGAUCUAUCCAUGGCCAGGUUGAAGGUGCGGUAACACGUACUGGAGGACCGAACCCACUAACGUUGAAAAGUUAGGGGAUGAGCUGUGGAUAGGGGUGAAAGGCUAAACAAAUCUGGAAAUAGCUGGUUCUCUCCGAAAACUAUUUAGGUAGUGCCUCGUGUCUCACCUUCGGGGGUAGAGCACUGUCAUGGUUGGGGGGUCUAUUGCUGAUUACCCCGCCAUAGCAAACUCCGAAUACCGAAGAGUGCAAUCACGGGAGACAGACAUCGGGUGCUAACGUCCGGUGUCAAGAGGGAAACAACCCAGACCGCCAGCUAAGGUCCCCAAAUAUAGCUAAGUGGGAAACGAAGUGGGAAGGCUAAAACAGUCAGGAGGUUGGCUUAGAAGCAGCCACCCUUUAAAGAAAGCGUAAUAGCUCACUGAUCGAGUCGUCCUGCGCGGAAGAUGUAACGGGGCUAAGCUAUAUACCGAAGCUGCGGACGCACGCAAGUGCGUGGUAGGAGAGCGUUCUGUAAGCCUGUGAAGGUGUCUUGUAAAGGAUGCUGGAGGUAUCAGAAGUGCGAAUGCUGACAUGAGUAGCGAUAAAGGGGGUGAAAGGCCCCCUCGCCGUAAGCCCAAGGUUUCCUACGCAACGUUCAUCGGCGUAGGGUGAGUCGGCCCCUAAGGCGAGGCAGAGAUGCGUAGCUGAUGGGAAGCAGGUUAAUAUUCCUGCACCGUCGUAUGAUGCGAUGGGGGGACGGAUCGCGGAAGGUUGUCCGGGUGUUGGAAGUCCCGGUCCCUGCAUUGGAGAAGGCGCUCAGGCAAAUCCGGGCGCGGAAUUCAAGAGUGUGGGGCGAGCGGCCUAGUGCUGCGAAGCAAUUGGAAGUGGUUCCAAGAAAAGCCUCUAAGCUUCAGUCAUACGAGACCGUACCGCAAACCGACACAGGUGGGCGAGAUGAGUAUUCUAAGGCGCUUGAGAGAACUCGGGAGAAGGAACUCGGCAAAUUGGUACCGUAACUUCGGAUAAGGUACGCCCUGGUAGCUUGACUGGCCUGCGCCAGAAGGGUGAAGGGGUUGCAAUAAAAUGGUGGCUGCGACUGUUUAAUAAAAACACAGCACUCUGCAAACACGAAAGUGGACGUAUAGGGUGUGACGCCUGCCCGGUGCCGGAAGAUUAAAUGAUGGGGUGCAAGCUCUUGAUUGAAGUCCCGGUAAACGGCGGCCGUAACUAUAACGGUCCUAAGGUAGCGAAAUUCCUUGUCGGGUAAGUUCCGACCUGCACGAAUGGCGUAACGAUGGCCACACUGUCUCCUCCCGAGACUCAGCGAAGUUGAAGUGUUUGUGAUGAUGCAAUCUCCCCGCGGCUAGACGGAAAGACCCCAUGAACCUUUACUGUAGCUUUGCAUUGGACUUUGAACCGAUCUGUGUAGGAUAGGUGGGAGGCUUUGAAGCGUGGACGCUAGUCUACGUGGAGCCGUCCUUGAAAUACCACCCUGGUUUGUUUGAGGUUCUAACCUUGGCCCGUGAAUCCGGGUCGGGGACAGUGCAUGGUAGGCAGUUUGACUGGGGCGGUCUCCUCCCAAAGUGUAACGGAGGAGUUCGAAGGUACGCUUGGUACGGUCGGACAUCGUACCUAAAGUGCAAUGGCAAAAGCGUGCUUAACUGCGAGACCGACAAGUCGAGCAGGUGCGAAAGCAGGACAUAGUGAUCCGGUGGUUCUGAAUGGAAGGGCCAUCGCUCAACGGAUAAAAGGUACUCUGGGGAUAACAGGCUGAUACCGCCCAAGAGUUCAUAUCGACGGCGGUGUUUGGCACCUCGAUGUCGGCUCAUCUCAUCCUGGGGUAGCCGGUCCCAAGGGUAUGGCUGUUCGCCAUUUAAAGAGGUACGUGAGCUGGGUUUAAAACGUCGUGAGACAGUUUGGUCCCUAUCUGCCGUGGGCGUUGGAAUCUUGACGGGGGCUGCUCCUAGUACGAGAGGACCGGAGUGGACGUACCGCUGGUGUACCUGUUGUCUCGCCAGAGGCAUCGCAGGGUAGCUAUGUACGGAAGAGAUAACCGCUGAAAGCAUCUAAGCGGGAAACUCGCCUGAAGAUGAGGAUUCCCUGGCGGCUUGACCGCCUUGAAGGGUCGUUCGAGACCAGGACGUUGAUAGGCUGGGUGUGGAAGCGCAGUAAUGCGUUAAGCUAACCAGUACUAAUUGCCCGUAAGGCUUGAUCCU
rnacentral:rRNA from 1 species